ensembl:lncRNA
GUUUACAGGCAAGCAGUUAUACAUGAAUAACAGCUCUAAAUUUAAAGACAAGAUAUACCAAGUUUUUUACAUAUUAAUCAGAUUGUCAACUCACAUGUAACAUUUAAGAACAUCGAGUUAGAGCUCAAAUGUCCAUAUUUGUUCUCUGCGUGACAGCGGUACGUUCCUCUGUCUUCAGGGCGGACUGAGGGGAAGGUAUGAGGUUGUCUUGGUUCCCAGAGCAGAGGUUGGUUGUUCUUGAACCAGGUGUACUCAGCUGCUGGGUUGGCAUCACUGCUGCAGCUCAGAGUCACUGAACUGCCCUCCUUUAUUUCACCAGAGGGACUUGAUGACAAAAAUGUGUGUUUAGGCCCAUCUGGAGACACAUAGAAACAUGUAACAACACCAUUUAUAUUCAUGACAGUAUUAAUGAUAUUAAAAAUCACAUUGUGGCAAAGUUUGGGUUCAUAAUUAAUGCUAACACAGUUAAGACAAUUCUCUAUUGUGUUUUACUCACAUUUAACAUCAAUAGAGUUGUAGACAGAUCUUUUCCCUAUCGUAUUCUGAGCCUCACAGCGAUACUGUCCGGAGUCUGAAGACACGAUGUAGCUAAAGACGAGUAGUGGUCCCUGGUUCAUCUUUGUGGAGGAACGAUCUGCAUUAACCUUGAACCAGGUGUACUCAGCUGCUGGGUUGGCAUCACUGCUGCAGCUCAGAGUCACUGAACUGCCCUCCUCUAUUUCACCAGAGGGACUCACGGUCACUGAGGGGGUCUUUGGAGCGUCUGUCAUGAAUACAAAAUAACAAUUUUCAUCCUAAAGUUAUGAAACCGUGUUUAGCAGCAACUGAUAUACCAGCAUGAUAAGUGUGUCAUCACUGGCGUGCAGUAAUACAUUAAUAUAUCAUCUCUACAUUUUAAAUACCAGAUAUAGAAAUUAUUUAAAAUGGGACUUCAAUACACAGAUGUGUGUUUAGG